rnacentral:tRNA from 3 species
GGAGAGUUGGCAGAGUGGUAAUGCAACGGACUCGAAAUCCGUCGAACCGGCUAAUACCGGCGCACGAGUUCGAAUCUCGUACUCUCCUUCA